rnacentral:lncRNA from 13 species
GACUUCAGAGCCCUGGCUGACAGCAUACGCAUCCAAAACAGCUAUGCUCACAGCUCCAGAGCAAGAGCCCGGGUGAUCAGACUCAAAGAAUACAUUUUUUUUUUAAAGUGUAAACUGAAAAUAAAAAAGGUGGCAAUUCAUCCAUGAAGCUGCCAUGUAGCUUGAUAGAUCAAAUCAUAAGGAGAACCAUACGAAAUCCCCAGCAGAUUAGAUUUUAAUUGAGGGAACAAGCUAUGGCUUUUUAGUGAGUGUCUGGAAGUGUACCAGCGGCUAUGCCAGCCAGACUGUCGCUAAUGGAGGCUGGACUCUCGGCUCUGGCUGGCUGGGCUAGAAGAGGUAGAGCAAUCCGUGCAAUGGCUUCUUCUUGAAGCAAUCGCACAACACAGACGGGGAACCGACGCUAAAUCCCCUGGCCAGACAUGCCAAAAUAAAACUCUCCCGACCUAGUGCUGAAACACGCAGCUCACAACCUCGGUUCUCUUUUUUUCCCUCCUUGUCCAGUUUGACUAGUUCAACAAAACGCUAAACGAAAGACGGAUAGAUAGAAAGAUAAACGAAUGGAAGGUUGGGAGUAUAUUGUGAGUAGGUAGAAGAACCUAGGUUACUUUGAAUACAAUGGGUGCCAGCUCAAGCGUUAUUCGUUCGUUCACCCGUUUAUUCUCGCUCGCACCGGCUGGCUAUCUCAAUUCACCACGUCUGGUCCUACACCAAGAAAACGAGAUGAGCUCUUUGCAGGUCAUUCACGAGGCGCUCGCUUCUGUAUUUCAUCUACCACACAACGACGUGCUCCUGAACCAUGAAGCCAAGCGAGCCGUGAUCUUGAACAAACUGGUAAAUUGCGUUAUAAACUCACAGCUGCAGAUGACCUGAGAUCCGCCUGUCUCUGAAUAAUGAGCAACCACAGAGACAAGGAAGACAAUCUGCAAAGCAGGCAACACAAAUAAGUUUUGGAGACUAGCAAGCACCAGAGGGUGCACAAGAGUUUGCUAUAAGACGACAGGAAAGGAGCAGGAACAGCAAGAUGAUGAUCAACGUGUGUAUCCCCAGAGGAACUCAUCCUCCAUUGAGUCAAAUUAAACCCAUGUAGGCUACAGUCAGAUUGAAUGGACGUCGUUAACAUCUCGACUGCGUGGAUAUAGAAGGAUUAUAUCCAUAUGCACGCGUCAUUAGGGUUAUCUGCAGUUCACAGACUGAACCUUGGUAAUUAUGCUGUCUGUGUAUCCCCAAAUACAUACUAGACCGACAGACCAUACAAAGGGAGAGAUAGAAAGACGUGAGAAUAGAAUAGACAGGCAGAAUAUAGUAGAAUAUUGGCUUCCCCAUCUCAUUUUGUAAUAAAGUACUGGUUUAAUAAACAGAUUCAAGAGAAAAUUAAAAAGGUACAGCAGGUGGAUUAUGACUAAUGAGGUCUGUGAUGAUACCCAUAGCCUAGUAGUGUACUCCCUGGCUAUCUAGUCAAUGCUGCUCCAUCAAGAUGGAAACAAAGGUAAAGCCCAGGGGAGAAUCUCAAUUGGAUGCUCAACUCCUAGCAUCCUCUUCUCUGUCCUCUCCUCGCCUGCUUUUGAAAAAGGUCAAAGGUAAUCGAGGAAUGGAGACAAGGAGAGGAAACGUGGAAACAAAUUCAAAAUGUAUGGAAGGAAACUCCACUCGUGCAUCAUCUGGCAUUUUUACAUUUACAGUGGUGGGACCCCAAAAUAAAUGUGUAAAGUGAUCACAACAGUUAGUGUGCAAGACAUUUUACAGAUAAAAGGAUAAGUAGCGUAUCAUUUUUAAAUGUGUAAAUGCUUUUCUCCUUUGAGAACACUGCUGAUUCAAAAGGGGUGUUGAGGAUCUUUAAAAACUUCUGCGCUCUCCGGCGGGAGGAUACUCUUGUGCAUCCUCUGUCGAAGUAGGUAAUCGAAGAGGGGAGCACACUCCUCUGUUCGACUACAAAUGAAUUGGCACACUCCUCAACCACUUCACGCUUUCUGGGUCAUGAGAAGAGGAGGACAGAGUCGUCGAGGAGAGGACUUUUCUUUUUAUUAAUUGAGAAUCUCCCCAGGACAAAAGUAUUGGGACAUCCUGUUGUGAUUCUCUAUUAGUGUAGAGAGAGAGAGAGAGAGAGAACUACAUCCCCAGUUGAAGGGAACGUAAACAAAAGUGAAACUCAUCUAAGUUCAUUUGUCCGGCUCUUUUAUUGCUUCAGUUACAAUAUCAUGUUCCAAGUUAUGUCAGAACCCCCAGAUACAAAUAUGAAUGUACAGUCAGUGUAGCAAGCAGUUAAAUAUCAAUAUAAUAAACACCUAAAACAAUGUCCUGCUAAUUAUGGGUUAUUUAUUUUUCUCAUUAUGUAAUAAAGCAUUUCAUUUACAU